GAUGAACGCUAGCGAUAGGCUUAACACAUGCAAGUCGAGGGGUAACGUGUUGGAAGCUUGCUUCCGAUGACGACGACCGGCGGAUGGGUGCGUAACGCGUAUGCAACUUGCCUCACAGUGGAGAAUAACCCGGAGAAAUCCGGACUAAUACUCCAUACACUCUUAAGUACGCCUGUACAUGAGAGGAAAGAUUUAUCGCUGUGAGAUAGGCAUGCGUCCUAUUAGGUAGUUGGUGAGGUAACGGCUCACCAAGCCGACGAUAGGUAGGGGUGCUGAGAGGCAGAUCCCCCACAGUGGGACUGAGACACGGCCCAAACUCCUACGGGAGGCAGCAGUGAGGAAUAUUGGACAAUGGAGGAAACUCUGAACCAGCCAAGUCGCGUGAAGGAAGAAUGUCCUAAGGAUUGUAAACUUCUUUAGCGAGCGAGUAAGGACUUCCACGUGAUGGGAGUUUGAAAGUAGCUCGAGAAUAAGUAUCGGCUAACUCCGUG
rnacentral:rRNA from 1 species